UGGACAGUGCACCUGCAGAAGGCCCCCAAGGAGCUGGAUCGUUGUGGUCAAUGUCCAGAUGAUGCCAAACAUUUUUCUUUCUCAGGAGAAAAAGUCAGUGGUGCUUGGCAGGAUUGGACUUCUCUGCAAACCACCUCUGAUCACAACACAUCCUCAUGGGUUUGCAUUUAAUUCUUCAGAUUGAGAAGUUUCCUCUGUCCUUAUGAACUCUGUUGUCAAGAUCUCCCAGACAGAUUACACUUUUCUGCUGAAAAAUUCAUACUGUAGGGAUCAGCUAAAGUUAAAUAUAAGGGAAACAAUACAUUACCCUGGGAUUGGAUUCAUCUUUCAAACAGGCCAUUUGCUGGCUCCACAGGAACAUCCUGUGCCCUCUUUGGCCCAUUACUGGGUCAGAGGGAGAGCACAUUUGUUCCAUUAUCAACACGGUGAUAAGAACCUGCAAUGUCACAAACAGGAGCUGGAGCUAAACAUGUCUGGGAAGACAAAUUCCUUAACUGUUCAGUGCUGAAGGACAUGUUAAUUUGUGAACCGUACCAAAAAGACAUUUUUAUAACACGUUUAACGCUCCAAAGCUACGAGGGAACAGCAGCGGGAGUGAAGGAGGACAGCUCUGCUGGUAUUAAAAGGGUCAUUAAACUCAGCAUUAGGUAAA